GCCCCCGCGCUCCUCGCGGCUGCGGUUGCUGUGGAGGUAGUAGCGGGCUGCCGCCGCUACCGUCGUGACGUCACGGGUGCCUUGGGCGCUGCUGCGGUGGUUGUGGGGUGGUAGUAGCAGCAUCCUGCAGUAAGUCUACUACUGCUUCCACAGCUAACGAGAGCUGCAUCCGAGACGCCCUUGACGUCACUGCUGUAGUGGUGGCAGUCUGCUACUACAUCCACAGCUACCGCAGCGUAGAAUCAGGUGGUAAGCAUCAAGUCCAGGCCCAGGCACAUCCCUUUGGACAAGAACCAGCAUCACUUCUUAUUUUACUUCAACUGUACCAUACAAACGAAAUAAAUAGCAACAUUACUGUCA